rnacentral:rRNA from 1 species
AACGAACGCUGGCGGCACGCCUAACACAUGCAAGUCGAACGCGCUCUUGUCUUUCGGGAUAAGAAUGAGUGGCGGACGGGUGAGUAACGCGUGGGAACCUGCCUUGCAGCAAGGGACAACGUCGGGAAACCGGCGCUAAUACCGUAUACGCCCUUCGGGGGAAAGAUUUAUCGCUGUAAGAUGGGCCCGCGUUAGAUUAGGUAGUUGGUAGGGUAAUGGCCUACCAAGCCGAUGAUCUAUAGCUGGUUUGAGAGGAUGAUCAGCCACACUGGGACUGAGACACGGCCCAG